UCGGGAAUUUUGGGCAAUGGGCGAAAGCCUGACCCAGCAACGCCGCGUGAGGGAUGAAGUAUUUCGGUAUGUAAACCUCGAAAGAAUGGGAAGAAUAAAUGACGGUACCAUUUAUAAGCUCCGGCUAACUACGUGCCAGCAGCCGCGGUAAUACGUAGGGAGCAAGCGUUGUUCGGAUUUACUGGGCGUAAAGGGCGCGUAGGCGGCGCGGUAAGUCACUUGUGAAAUCUCUGAGCUUAACUCAGAACGGCCAAGUGAUACUGCUGUGCUAGAGUGCGGAAGAGGCAACCGGAAUUCUUGGUGUAGCGGUGAAAUGCGUAGAUAUCAAGAGGAUCACCUGAGGCGAAGGCGGGUUGCUGGGCCGACACUGACGCUGAUGCGCGAAAGCCAGGGGAGCAAACG
rnacentral:rRNA from 1 species